ACAGUCCUACGGGACGCAGCAGUGAGGAAUAUUGGUCAAUGGUCGGGAGACUGAACCAGCCAAGCCGCGUGAGGGAUGAGGGUACAGAGUAUCGUAAACCUCUUUUGUCAGGGAACAAAGGCGGGGAGGUGUCCCCGGAUGAGUGUACCUGAAGAAAAAGCAUCGGCUAACUCCGUGCCAGCAGCCGCGGUAAUACGGAGGAUGCGAGCGUUAUUCGGAUUUAUUGGGUUUAAAGGGUGCGCAGGCGGUCUGUUAAGUCAGCGGUCAAAGCCCGGGGCUCAACCCCGGCCCGCCGUUGAAACUGG
rnacentral:rRNA from 1 species